rnacentral:rRNA from 1 species
UCCCGUUUCUGUUCUGUUGGUUUUUGGAAAACGAGAUAAUGAUCGAGAGGGACAGACGGGGGCAUUCGUAUUGCGGCGCUAGAGGUGAAAUUCUUGGACCGUCGCAAGACGAACUACUGCGAAAGCAUUUGCCAAGAAUGUUUUCAUUGAUCAAGAACGAAAGUCAGAGGUUCGAAGGCGAUCAGAUACCGCCCUAGUUCUGACCAUAAACGAUGCCAACCAGCAAUCCGCCUGAGUUACUCAAAUGACUCGGCGGGCAGCUUCCGGGAAACCAAAGUAUUUGGGUUCCGGGGGAAGUAUGGUUGCAAAGCUGAAACUUAAAGGAAUUGACGGAAGGGCACCACCAGGAGUGGAGCCUGCGGCUUAAUUUGACUCAACACGGGAAAACUUACCCGGCCCGGACACNGGAAGGAUNGACAGAUUGAGAGCUCUUUCUUGAUUCGGUGGAUGGUGGUGCAUGGCCGUUCUUAGUUGGUGGAGCGAUUUGUCUGGUUAAUUCCGAUAACGAACGAGACUCCAGCCUA